UCUCAUGACUUAACAGUGGAAAAUAUAUAUAAACAUCAUAGUAAUCAUAGCAUUUCUGUAGGGUAUAUUUGUCUAAUAGAAAAUAAUAAAGAAGAGUAAGUGCUGUAAUCCUUAAUCUUUAGGUAAAUAUACAUUCAAGCUUCAUGAACAGUCCUAUGUAAAGGCUCAGCAACCCAUUUACCUUUUAAAUUAACAACCACUUCAAUGGUUAAUUGAGUAUCUCUAAGCCAAUAAAUUACCCUUCAACAUUACUGACUGGAAGCUUAGUAUCCAAAACAAGCCUGCCAUUAAGGAACUCAUUCUUCAACAAAAGGAAAAGGAGGCAUCAAAUUUGAGCUGUGGAUGUGUUUGGUUCUCUUACUCUAAGCACAUUAGUACACUGUGUUUUCUCACUCAGAGAAGCUUUUGUACCCUGAGCAUGUGGCUAUUUAAAUGCCCCAGCGGGGCAUCCAGAGGCUGCGAAAAAAGGAAAAAUUAUUUGGAACAAUUUGCAUUCGUUCAAGGGCAACGUUAAGCAUUUUACAGCUGGUUUAUUGCUAUUCUUGUGCUGUUUAAGCUGUCUUUCAUGUGAAAAGUCCUUUCCUGCUUACCGAUCACCAGGAAGCAUUCUGUCGUGUGCUGUAGGCCCAAGUUCCUCCAGGGCUCCGGGCCUUUGAUCACGGAUACCGUUUGCAGUCAGGAGGCUGAUGAGAUAAGCCUGGGUCCGAACUGAGGAAAGGCCCUUUCCUUUUAAUUAUUCAACUUUGUUUUCUUGUUUUUUAGUACGGGAUAUGCACGAUUCCAGCGCAGAGUAACAGUGUUCAGGAAUUAGAGCACACUUAGAGGUGUAAGAACUUUAAAGGUCAAGAAAAUAGGUUAAAGAUCUCAACUUCAUGAAACCAGGCUCACCAUUUCAGAUCACCUUCAGAUUAUCAUCUGACUUCUAUGCAUUUGCUAAUUAGAAAAGAAAAACUGCAGAAGACGGAGGUCUGCUCUCCAUGGUGUCUCCCCCUCACCGUUCCAGGGAGUACAGCAGUUACCAUAGAGAUUUUCCCUAUGUCUAAAGACUAUUGGAAUCUAGGUUUUUCUGUAAGGGAAUAAUAAUAAAUACCUUCUGUGUAGCAGCCUGGCUUUCUAAUAGGUACAAGAGAUGUAUCAGGCCACAAUCCUUGUAUAAUUUCCUUGAAUAUGGGGAAGAAAGAUGAGCUACAUAAGGUUUUUAUCACAGGCUCUGGUGUCUCUGUAACUCCCUGGCCUAUUGGUUUCAUCUUCCCCUUACUAUGUAGUCUCCAUUGGAUUAUCCCGAUGCUCUCUGAAAACAAACAAAAGCAAUUUUUUUCUAUUUCUCGUAAAGGAGCAGAAAGAUUCUAUAGACAUCUCUACUACAGACUCCUUUUCUCUUUGGUCCCAAGCAAAGGAAUGGGAAAAUUUCUUUAUUAAUUAUAAUAUAGAAUUAUGUGACCAUAUAAAACAAUUUUGUGUGAUCCAGCAAUUCUUUUUCUGGGUAUAUGCCUAAAAGAUUUGAAAGCAGGGACUCAAAGAAAUACUUGCACACCGUUGUUCAUAGAGCAACAUCAUUCACAAUGGCCAGAAGAUGGAAGCAACCUAAGUGUCCAUUGAUAGAUGUGUGGGUAAACAAAAUAUUGUAUAGACAUUGAAUGGAAUAUCACUCAACCUUAAAAAGGAAUGAAAUUCCGACACAUGCUAAAAUGAGUAUGAAAGUUGAGCAGAUUAUGCUAAGUGAAAUAAGCCUACCACAGCAGGAAAAAUACUGAGUCCUUAUGUGAGGUACUUGGAGUAAUCAAAUUCAUAGUGACAGGAAGUAGAAGGGUGGUUGUGAUGGGCUGGGAGGGAGACCGGAAUGAGGAGUUAUUGUUUAAUGGGUACAGAUUUUCAGUUUUUCAAGAUGACAAGAGUUGUGUGGAUGGAUGGCAUUAAUGGUAGCAGAGCAAAUGCAUGCAGUUAAUGCCGCCUAAUGGCAACUUAAAUGUGGUUAAGAUGAUACAUUUUAUGUUACGUGCAUUUUACUGCUAUUAAAAAUUUUAGAUUUCCCUCUAACAUGUGAAACUAAUUAUAGGUUGCCUACUGUGUGCUAAAGGUCGAACUAGGUACUUUACAUACAUUAUUCCUGAUGGAUAUUAUUUUUCUCAUUUUACAAGUGAGGAAACAGAAGUUCAUAGGAGUUAAAAUAAUUUCAAGAGGUUAUGCAAUUAAGCAGCAGAAAUGCAAUCUGAAUUCACAUCUGUGUACUCUCUGCAUUGCCCCACAGUUCUGCUCCCCAUGUGGAACAUAGUUGCGCAGACACACAUACUCUUCCAUAUUUUCAUCUUGGCAUAUAAUAUAUAUUAUUCCUUAGCUUAAGUUAAUUGUGUUAAUUGCUAUACAUACAAAUGUUGAGGUUAACCACUUAAUUAAUAUUGCAAAAUUAAUCCACAUAAUCACGUGGCAUGGUCUGACUCUCACUGCCAAAUGAAUCUGAGAGGAAGAGCUGCCUCAAUACAAACAGCUUUAUUGGUUGCCUCAGGAAGCAAGGAAUUAGACUGAUUGCUUAGGCUUCAGGCUUUGUAAUUACAACCUGGCAUUUUAGUAAUGGCAAUUUAAAAUUUCAGUUCCAAAAGGCUUAAGACCAAGUCUAUCAUCUCACAACUUUUUCUCCCACGUUUUUGGGAAAAGAAUGAAUUACUUUAAAAUGUAUCUUGGGGAACUGCUAGAAGGUUUUCUAAGCGUUUUUGUGUCUCUAAAUGAACUUAAUAUGUGUUCAUUGUGUAACCAGAACAGUCUGUCUGGUAGAGGAAGAAUUUGGGUCCCUGGUAAACAAAAUGGUCUCAGCCUUGCUGGAGCAUGUCUUUCCUAAGUAGUGGGCACAGAAGCAGGAUAAUUGGCUACCUCCUGGUUGCAAAUAUAGGUAUGUUAACGGUGGGCCUGAGGGGAACCUCCAUUUUGGGUUGUAGUUUAUUAUUAGGUGAGGAAAUUACUGGACACCUCCAGCUGCCAUUAAUCAGCCGCAGAGUCAGACUGGAGCCAAGGGAGAAGCCUGUGGGUGGAUUCUGCCGGGUACUGUGGAAAUACAAGAAGACAGAGACAAAUGUUUUCCAGCCUAGCAGCACUAAACUCUGCCCUUUCACAGUCCUUAACAUGCGUGUUCAAAUUGAUUUAGUCCAUUUACCCCCAACCUAACCAUCUAUUUUCCUUGAAGACUGACAGUUUUAUGUGUCGCUACCAUGUUAUUUUCUGUUGCUCCUCUGCCAGUAGCUAUAGUGUUUCAGAAACAUUUACUUCCAGACGUAAAGGAUGAAUGAGGAUGGGGGUGUAGAGAAAGGGAGGUGAGGUUGCAUUAUUUUAACUCCUUUUUUCUAUGCGGUGCAAAACAUGCCCAUCAUGGCACCAACUUUCUCCCUCCCUCUCUCUUCUUUAUUCCUUUUCUGUGUCAAUGACUUCCAUAAAAAAGCCUUGAAUAAAAUUUCCCACUUGAGAAACACAUCUGUCAGGUGAUGUCAACGCCUGGCUUACUCCUCUUCCUGUUGGGUUGCAAACAUGGCUUUCUCUCAUGGUCCUGGAAUGCUGACACGGCCAAGUGGCAGAAGCCAAACACAGGUAGGGUCAAGGUGAAAACCUCAGUGGGGGCCAUCGUCCUCCACUUAGCUUUGGAGGGAAUGGGAAGAGUCCAGGAGCAAUUUGUUUUCUCUGCUCCUGUGUAAAUUCAGAAAAGGGGGAUGGUGGAGAUAAAAACCAAGACAGCCCCCUGUCAGCUGCAGGGACAUCAGUCAAGACAUUCCAAGUGCUUGUCCCGUUGGCGGUGCUUGCCUCAGGAUGAGCAGGAAUUCAGGUCUGACCCUUGCUUUCUUGGAACUGGAUGAAAGUGACUUAUCUGAACAUGUAAGAAUAUUCUGCCCCUGGAGGCCAAAGACUAAAAUUCAGAGUUAAAAUAAAUACUCAGAGAAGGAAAGGAAACAGAGAGGUCAAAGGUUUCAUCAGAUAGGAACCUCUAAGAUUACUGACUUAACCAUACCUUUGUUUUAUUCUGUCUGGUUUUCGUGUACUACUCUAUGCCACAGAAAACAGAGAGACUCUCUUUUUACUCAUCCUGCUUUUGUGUAGAAGGGUAGAAGAUGACAAUUCCAUUGAUUUAUGUAGACAAAUACAAAUAAAAUAAGCAAAAUAAAAUAAAAUAAGCCAUUUUGAAAUGUGUAACCGGAUAUGAGUAUUUGCCCCUGUUUCCAGUGCAUUAGUAUUUGGUGAUGUAUAGUGGCUGAUUCUAUAGUCAUAACUAUUACCCAGUAAGAAAAAAAGGUUUUAAAAUAGUACCCUUAGAAUGAAUGUACUGUUUUCUGAUGAAGGAUAUUCCCAAUCUGGGAAGGAUAUUGAGUGAGACAGAUAUAUGCGUGUAUGUGCAUGUGUUUAAGGAAAAAAACACUAUUACUCUAGCACAGAUUAAACUUGGGACUUAGGGCCAUAGUCAGCUGGUGACUUUACCUGCAGGUCCUCUCUGCGCUGCUGGAGACCACAGGCAGGAUGCCUGCCUGCGUGCUGAGACGGUGUUUGUGGUCACUCUUACAUGGUAAGCACUUGGGUGGCAAUCCCUUGAUUUCCUUGCAGUUCUCAGGGUUUGCAUGGCUGGCUGUUCCCAAUCAGAGGUCACCUCAGUGGCAUAUUGAGUUUCUCUGAUGCAGGGCACCUGUAGGCCCUCAGAGAAAUGAAGCAUGUGGUUCCUUUAGCCAGACAUCCAGUCUCCAUGUGAUGACUGUGGAAUGACAGAGAAGGCCUUCCUGACAUGCGCCAGCUUUUCUUCACCCUUCUGCUCCAGUACUGUCGUGGGCUUGGCCAUUGCAGUGCUGGCCCCGCCCUGCCCUGCCAGUCUGAGGAUGGCCAGAUGAAUUACCCACACUACCUUCUGCCCGGACUGAGUUUUCUUUGAUGGACUGCCAUGCAGAUACCACCUGAUAACACAAACCUCAGUAUGAAGAACUGAUAGAUCACAAAACUACUGUAGGCAAUCUUCACCUACCAGUGAACUUUAAAAGAAUUUAAAAUCUCUUUUUAAUGGGCAUGAGAAUAUAAAUAUACUAACUACUUAGUCACUGAAAAACUUAUCUUUACUGUUUUGUAAAUGUGAUGAAGGAGCUCUAAAGAUCGUAUGACCAUGGCUCAGAAUCCAAAAUUGGGAUCUACAUUGUAAAGCACCAGGACUACCUUUAUGGGAACCACAGAACAGACUGUUCAAAAUCAAGAAUGAGCAGGAAUACAGACAAUUGGAACAGGAUACCAUCAUCUGUGGAAGGGGAACUGACACUUUGGGCCAAAGGAAGAUGGCCAUGGCCUUCUGUUAGGGUCAGUGAAUUCAGAGAGCUAAUUGCAAGGGCAGUGGGCAGUGUGCUGCGCUUUGAAGCCCUAAGGAGAAAGCCCCUCUGUUUUAGAACAGUAUGCUGUAUCUUGGUUAUAUGAGUACAGUGUAUAAAGGAAAGAAAAAGGAUCAAGAUAAAGAUGCCACUGGGAAAGAAUACACAGCCAUCUGGAUAAUUAAUUCUUUUUGGUUAAAUACUUGUGGCUGAGUUAUGUUUAGACUACAAACGGAGGGAGGUGAUUGCAGAAGACUUUCAGCACAGACACCCCUUAUCAGUUAUAUCAAACAAUGUCUUACAUGGCAUCAACACACUGUGAGAAUAUAGAUUACUCUCCAGGAUUCCAGAAGGUACAACCCAGCCAGGAUAAGCAGGCCAUGAUUUCCUUUAGCUGUUUUGUAAUCUUAAAUCAUGCUAUUCCACACACUUCAAAUUGAGGGCUGGCAAACACAAAAGAUGGCCAUCAGGAUCCUGUUUCACCAUUUUGUCAAAUUAUAGUUCAUUUGACUCUGUAUCUCAGUUUUUAUUUUUAGUGUUUGACUUUAUAUUGUUUACUUUUUCUAUUGUCUUUUUUUUCCCCUCUGAAUCAUUGCAAUUGAGUAUAGGUGUAGGAACAGUUCUUGAAUGCUUUGGGGGCCUCCCCAUAUAGGGUAGUAGGAUUUCUGGAAGGGCUGAGUGAGACAGGAGGAAUCCUUUGAAAUAAUUUUUGAUUUUGGGUCUGGAAUUGAAAUCUUGAGCUUAUAUUUAAGCAUGUGCAAUACCAAAAUACUUAUCAAGAACUUGGAAUAAUUUCUCCACUUUAAACCACACUAUUUUAGAAUGAAAACUUGAGAAUUGAAUGACAGAGCAGUUAAAAAUACAUAUAUAAAACAUAUAUAAUGAUAUAUAUCAUUAUAUGUAAAUGUAUAGACAUUAUAUAUAUAUAUAUGCACCCACAUAUAUACAUAUGUGUAUAUUUGUGCUUUAUAUACACACACAUAUACACACACUUCCCCUUGAUGGAUAAUAUAUAAACAAGAAACAAAGUGAAGCAGCUUUGCCUUAUGCUUAAAAGUUACCAUGCUGAAUUUAGUAUAAUUCAACAAAUAUUUAUAGAACAACUGUAUAUUAGAUGUUAGCAAAGGAGAGAAAAUUAGUUGUACAGAUUUUUGUCCUUAAGGUGCUUAUGUUAUAAUUUAGGAGACUAGAGAGUAAACUGAAAAUGUUAUUGUGUGACAAGGUAAACAGCAGAUGAGCUAGGACAGCACUACGUCCAGGCUGUUAUGCAUUGCAGGCGUACAUACAUGCUGUCCUAGAGGGUUUAAACACGUGCAGAGAAUUGUGAAGAAAAAAUUUGACCUAUGUGUUUGCAUUCUGAUUUGAGCUGUUUCUUGUGUGUAAAUGAUCACCAAAUUUACACAAUAACCUUAUAACCCCGAAAGGUUUUUCUUAAUUAUGUCCUUGACUAGAUAUCACUUUUCCCUUCCAGUUCCAACAUUUUGUUAUUCUGUGACUCAAGAAAUUUGGUCUUGCUGCUGGCUUUGUGAAGAGCACAAGGUUUAAAGAAUAAACAACAACAUCCCACUUACUUGCACCCCUACUUUUUGUUGUUGACUUUGGUGAAAGCCCCUCAUAUAUUAGACACAGUUUCAGAAAUCUUGUGAAUCAUUUAACGAAUUAUUAAAUAGUUAUUCAACUUUAAUUUAAUGAUAAUUACAUAAAUUAAUGAUUUCAAAACUGCUGAGGUUUGGUCAAGUCUAAAUUAUAACAAUGUGAAUUAUAGGCUGUUUUAUCUUUUAUUUUAGUUAACAAAACCACAGUGGAUUAGCCUGCAGGAAAUCUGGUCAAUUUUCAUGAUAAAUUGACUUGGCCAUAUAAUGCAUAAUUCAGUUGCACAGCUGUGUACUCUGGUGUGUUCUCUCUGAGGAAUGUAGCUUUAUUUAUAGGUUUGUAUUAAGAAAAUCUGCUCCACUGUUUCACUUUUAUCUCAGAAAUGUAUAAGCCUGUGCAUACUAAUUUUUAACAUAAAAACAAACUGUAUACCUUAGUAUCAAAUUGCACAUAUAUUUUCUAAAAUUCACAUGCCAGGUUUUAAAGAAUCAUGUGAAAGUUCUAUGGAAGCUUUUCAUAUCAUUCUUGUAACCCCUUAUUUAGAAAAAACCCAAUUUUUUAUGUUCAUAGUUUCAAUAAAAAUGUUCCUUAGUAGUAGGUAUUGAUUUUUUUUAUUAAUGAAGAGGUUGGAUGCCAUAGGGCUAAGAGUAUGAAUAUUGAAGUCAUAGGCUGUAAAUAUUCCUUUUCUGUUUUCAUAAUUGCUGAAUGCCAUAACAUGAACAAAACUAAUAUAUAAAAUUGUAUUUUUUCCUUCAUCCCUUAUAUUCAUACAAGGAAAUACAGAAAUCACUCCAUUAUGGAUCCAAUCUCCAAUGAUGUUACCAUCAUGGUUUAACUUAGAAACAGACUAUAUAUGCAUCAGUAAGGACAAGGGGCUAAUGUAAGUCUCAAAGGUACUGAGGUCACCUGAGGCUGGUGACAGUAGAUAAAGUGGUCAGUUAUGUAGCUGUAUAAAAGUUGUUUGAUGACAGGAUUGAUUCUGAGAGCUAAGGUAGGUGUGCUAAGGGUGACUCCUUGAAUCUUAUUAAAAUACACCUUUAAGCCGUGAACAGACCGGGGCAUUCUACGAACUGGGAAAGCCCAUUGAAAUAGUUCUGAUGUGGAGAAUAUCUGUUCCACAGUCAUUGAAAUAAUAUUUCUUCUUCAGCCUUCAGCAUUGUAUGGUUCUUAAGAUUUUAGAAGGGAGGCAAAGGAGCAUUUCCAGAUGUUUCAGAAUAUUGUUUUUAGGCAGAACUUUUAGCCAGAGUUUUUACUUUGGUUAUGCUUACCUUUGAGGAAGUUAAAAAAUUUCGAUUUAAAUAGUAGAUAUGAAGUCCAUCUUGAAAUUUGAUUAUAGGUGAAUAGUAUGCUCUUCUUAAUUUCCUCUUUAUAGGACUGGUUGCAUAGAAUUACACUCCUUAACCAGCUGGUAUAUUUCAGAGAGAGUGUUGGACACAGGGAGUAAGCUGUCUGCUAAGUACUUCUAAUUUCUUACUUCUACUUUAUUGUCAUUAUUCAUGGCAAUUAUCAUUAUUCAUGGUCACUAGAAAUAAUAAAAAGAGGUGAAAGUGAAAUUAAUGCUACAUUUAUUCUUUAUUAGGAUAUUAGAAUGAUUAUUUGAUAGAGAGAAAUUUGUGUAAAUUAAAUGUCAGAUAUGUUUUCAAGAUUUUAUAUUGAUGCUUGAUAUUACAUAAUCAUUUUUCUGAGUGGGAACCAGUUAAGGUUACUGGGAAAACAUCAAGUAAAUAUAUAUUAAAUGCUGCUGAACUAUUUUAUGCAUUUAGCAAUAUUAUAGACAAGGGAGCUGAAACCCAAAUUUUGGUGAGUUAAAUAUUCCUUAAGGCUUAUGAUACCAUUAGAACAUAAUCUGUGGACUAUAGGACUAAAUUUCAAAAUAGUACUGAAAGUUCAAAGUUCUCAGAUGGUUUGAUUUUAUGAAUUCAUGAUUUUUAUAUUUAUCUAGUAUAAUUUUAAAAUGUAGGUUAUUUACUAAAAUGUAAUUAAUAAUUUUCAGUACCUCUAAUUUAGGCAUUUUGAUAUAUACUUCGUUUCUGCCAGUACUCUAAGACUGAGGAAAUUGUACAAGAUUACUACCGAUUCAUACAGAAAAACCCGAACUGGAAAAUUAACAGCAUAGCUGGAAAGACUAAUGAAGUUAGUAUGCAAAAAUGCUUGUAGAGGCUCAAAAUCUAUCCCUGGACCCCAGAAGUGGCUUUUUAAAAAUAUAUAAUCAACGCAGUCAUGAAACUUAAGAAUCAUUUGCUAUCACACUGGUGAAAUACAAUUGUCUGUACGGCAACUUCCACAAUUUUUUCCUCACCAUUGUCUUUUAUCACUCAUCAUUUCCUUUGGACGAAGUGCCUUUAUUAUACUCUCUUUAAAAAGACAAGUGGCUAAUUGACCCGGUAAGGUAGCUGGCCCGGGUUCGAACUCUGUUAUUGAAUUCCUAUAGUGGGAGUGAAAACAAAAAUACUGAUGGAUGCCCAUGUUAUGCCUACAAUUAACAGAGUAAACAUCCUAAUAGGCAUAGAAGACACAAACAGAUGUUCCAAUUGCAUGUCUGUGAGAAACUGAUGUUUACUAGUUCCGCUCUAGCUUGGCCUUUGAGACCUCAGGAAGUUUCCCUCCCAGUGGGGAUUUCAGUGAUUUAUUGAUUUCAGCACAAUGAAUAUUUCAGAAACUAGCAGGAUUUUUAAGAGGUUAAACACAUCCUUACAAAGGUCAGCGUUGAUUCAUGCUUGAAGGGAAUGCUCACUCUGCUUUAACCGGGGUAAGGGCGGUCACAAGUUUGCCAUUCCUGCCUUCGUGGGGAGGACCACGGACAGGGGAAUGAAAGGGAUUUCCCAACAGAGAAUGUAGAAAUAGAACAUCAGCACAGAUUUUUUUUCCUUUAAGCAGAACAAAAAUGAGGGAGGUAUGAAUAACUGCGAACUCCUAAAAAUUCCUGGUUGAAACACCAAUUGGUUUUGUUCAAAACAGUGAAGAUGAAUUUUAGGCUUGUAUUUGAGACACUCAAAACUGAGUAAUGUAAUAAGCCUCAGAAAUUCGAAAGAGUUUUAAAUGCUGAAAAUAUAUCUAUUCCUUCUGUAUUAAAUUUACAAAUAUAUUCUGAUGUAGUUAGUUGGCCAGGGUUUACCAGAAACAGUCUAAAUAAAGCAAUUGAUGAGUAUUUUGUGUUCUGUGCUUUCUUUCUUCUUAGGCACACUCAUGGGUAUUAAUAAACUGAUAUGUCCUCAUUAGUAUUAAUAAUGAUACUCAAUACUUAUCGAGAAUUUACUUAAUGCCAGGUACUGUGUAAAUGCUUUAAACAAAUUAUCUCAUUAGAAGAAUGCCAUUACAUCAGAAGAUUAAGUAUGAAAUCACAGCUGUUAUUUUGCAAUAAAUGCAAACAAUAUUUAUUUUCUUCUUAGCUUCUCUUUUAGGUUGUGUUCAGCCUCAGAAGCAUAAGAUCUGGCUAAGUAUUUUCUUCUUUCAAUUAAAAACAAUAGCAGAUAAGAAUCCUGCGCUAGAACAGGCCUUCUACUUGAGUAUUUUAUGUCUGUAGACCAGCUGGAUACACGUGGCUGUUGGGUACCUGAAACAUAGCUGGUCUGAACUGAAGACUUUGGAUGCAGGAAAGAAUUUAAAAUAUUGCCUUAAUAUUUGUGUAUUGACUACAUGUGAAAAUAGUAGUAUUUUAGACAUCAGGGUUAAAUA